rnacentral:rRNA from 1 species
CUUGCCUACGGGGCGCAGCAGUGAGGAAUAUUGGUCAAUGGACGAGAGUCUGAACCAGCCAAGUAGCGUGAAGGAUGACUGCCCUAUGGGUUGUAAACUUCUUUUAUAUGGGAAUAAAACGUUCCACGUGUGGGAUUUUGUAUGUACCAUAUGAAUAAGGAUCGGCUAACUCCGUGCCAGCAGCCGCGGUAAUACGGAGGAUCCGAGCGUUAUCCGGAUUUAUUGGGUUUAAAGGGAGCGUAGGUGGAUUGUUAAGUUAGUUGUGAAAGUUUGCGGCUCAACCGUAAAAUUGCAGUUGAAACUGG